AGAGUUUGAUCCUGGCUCAGGAUGAACGCUAGCGGCAGGCUUAACACAUGCAAGUCGAGGGGCAGCGGGGAGGAAGCUUGCUUUCUCCGCCGGCGACCGGCGCACGGGUGAGUAACACGUAUGCAACCUGCCCCUGUCAGGGGGACAACCCGCCGAAAGGCGGGCUAAACCCGCGUACAUGCCACCGGGGCAUCCCGGAGGCAGGAAAGGCUUCGGCCGGACAGGGAUGGGCAUGCGGCGCAUUAGGCAGUAGGCGGGGUAACGGCCCACCUAACCGACGAUGCGUAGGGGUUCUGAGAGGAAGGUCCCCCACACUGGUACUGAGACACGGACCAGACUCCUACGGGAGGCAGCAGUGAGGAAUAUUGGUCAAUGGUCGGGAGACUGAACCAGCCAAGCCGCGUGAGGGAUGAAGGUACAGAGUAUCGUAAACCUCUUUUGUCAGGGAACAAAGGCGGGGACGCGUCCCCGGAUGAGUGUACCUGAAGAAAAAGCAUCGGCUAACUCCGUGCCAGCAGCCGCGGUAAUACGGAGGAUGCGAGCGUUAUCCGGAUUUAUUGGGUUUAAAGGGUGCGCAGGCGGUCUGUUAAGUCAGCGGUCAAAGCCCGGGGCUCAACCCCGGUCCGCCGUUGAAACUGGCAGUCUCGAGUUGGAGAGAAGUAUGCGGAAUGCGCGGUGUAGCGGUGAAAUGCAUAGAUAUCGCGCAGAACUCCGAUUGCGAAGGCAGCAUGCCGGCUCCACACUGACGCUGAGGCACGAAAGCGUGGGUAUCGAACAGGAUUAGAUACCCUGGUAGUCCACGCAGUAAACGAUGAAUGCUGGCUGUCCGGGGGGACUGACCCCUGGGUGGCGAAGCGAAAGCGAUAAGCAUUCCACCUGGGGAGUACGCCGGCAACGGUGAAACUCAAAGGAAUUGGCGGGGGCCCGCACAAGCGGAGGAACAUGUGGUUUAAUUCGAUGAUACGCGAGGAACCUUACCCGGGCUCAAACGGGGAGUGACUCAGGCAGAGACGCCUGUUUCCCACGGGACACUCCCCGAGGUGCUGCAUGGUUGUCGUCAGCUCGUGCCGUGAGGUGUCGGCUUAAGUGCCAUAACGAGCGCAACCCCCGCGUGCAGUUGCUAACAGUCAACGCUGAGGACUCUGCACGGACUGCCGGCGCAAGCCGCGAGGAAGGCGGGGAUGACGUCAAAUCAGCACGGCCCUUACGUCCGGGGCGACACACGUGUUACAAUGGGUGGUACAGCGGGAAGCCAGGCGGCGACGCCGAGCGGAACCCGAAAUCCACUCUCAGUUCGGAUCGGAGUCUGCAACCCGACUCCGUGAAGCUGGAUUCGCUAGUAAUCGCGCAUCAGCCAUGGCGCGGUGAAUACGUUCCCGGGCCUUGCACACACCGCCCGUCAAG
rnacentral:rRNA from 1 species